UCCAGACUCCUACGGGAGGCAGCAGUGGGGAAUAUUGCACAAUGGGGGAAACCCUGAUGCAGCGACGCCGCGUGAGUGAAGAAGUAUUUCGGUAUGUAAAGCUCUAUCAGCAGGAACGAGACAAGACGGUACCUGACUAAGAAGCCCCGGCUAACUACGUGCCAGCAGCCGCGGUAAUACGUAGGGGGCAAGCGUUAUCCGGAUUUAUUGGGUUUAAAGGGUGCGCAGGCGGAGGCACAAGUCAGCGGUAAAAUGGGGGGGCUCAGGCCCGCUGCGCCGUUGAAACUGUGUCCCUUGAGUGCGCGAAGGGUAGGCGGAAUGCGUGGUGUAGCGGUGAAAUGCAUAGAUAUCACGCAGAACUCCGAUCGCGAAGGCAGCCUACCGGCGCGCUACUGACGCUCAUGCACGAAAGCGUGGGUAUCGAACAGGAUUAGAUACCCGAGUAAA
rnacentral:rRNA from 1 species